AGGGUGUAAACGCUGCAGACUUGGUGUUGGAAGUCCUUUGGGGGCAUUCAGUGCCGGAGAGAAGUUGUUAAGUCUGCUACUUGGGGAGUACGUCCGCAAGGAUGAAACUCAAAGGAAUUGGCGGGGAGCACCGCAACGGGAGGAGCGUGCGGUUUAAUUGGAUUCAACACCGUAAAACUCACCAGGGAAGACUGUUACAUGAAAGCCGAGAUGAAGACUCUGCUAGAUUUCAGAGAGGAGGUGCAUGGCGUCAGUGACU
rnacentral:rRNA from 1 species